rnacentral:rRNA from 1 species
CCAACAGGGAUUGCCCUAGUAACGGCGAGUGAAGCGGCAACAGCUCAAAUUUGAAAUCUGGCUUCGGCCCGAGUUGUAAUUUGCAGAGGAUGUUUAUGGUGCGGUACCUUCCGAGUUCCCUGGAACGGGACGCCACAGAGGGUGAGAGCCCCGUCUGGUUGGAUACCAAACCUGUGUUAAACUCCUUCAACGAGUCGAGUAGUUUGGGAAUGCUGCUCUAAAUGGGAGGUAAAUCUCUUCUAAAGCUAAAUACCGGCCAGAGACCGAUAGCGCACAAGUAGAGUGAUCGAAAGAUGAAAAGCACCUUGAAAAGGGGGUUAAACAGUACGUGAAAUUGUUAAAAGGGAAGCGUUUAUGACCAGACUUGUGUCGUGUGGCUCAUCCGAGGUUCUCCCCGGUGCACUCCACACGGCUCAGGCCAACAUCGGUUCUCGUUGGGGGAUAAGAACAGUAGGAACGUAGCCCUCUUCGGCGGGUGUUAUAGCCUAUUGUACGAUACCCUGAUGGGGACCGAGGACCGCGCUUCGGCUAGGAUGUUGGCGUAAUGGUCAUUAGCGACCCGUCUUGAAACACGGACCAAGGAGUCGUCCAUUAGAGCGAGCGUUUGGGUGUAAAACCCGCACGCGUAAUGAAAGUGAAAUUAGGUGAGAGCUUCGGCGCAUCAUCGACCGAUCCUGAAGUUUACGGAUGGAUUUGAGUAAGAGUUUUAACGGACGGACCCGAAAGACAGUGAACUAUGCUUGAAUAGGGUGAAGCCAGAGGAAACUCUGGUGGAGGCUCGCAGCGGUUCUGACGUGCAAAUCGAUCGUCAAAUUUGAGCAUGGGGGCGAAAGACUAAUCGAACUGUCUAGUAGCUGG